rnacentral:lncRNA from 1 species
ACAAAGGAAAAUGAACAAUGUGUACCACUUAAAGGUCUUGGACUUGGAGCACAGAAAUUGAUAUAGUCUCUUUGAAAAAAUAAGAUUUGAGCUCUGCUGUAUGCCAGACACAUAUUUUGGCAAUGCCAAGAGAUUCCCAUUGUGCUGCCCAGCUGUCCAGUGACUAUUUUCAGGGGAACAGUAUCUUCCUGUUACUGGCUGUCCUUGUGGAAAGAACAAACUUUUAUUAUUCCCUUGGACCAGGAACCUUUCAUAUUCAAUCUCACAGGCAAACUACAGCUUUUUCUGCUAUAACAGAGCCCUGUAAUUACUGUUAUUAAUCUUAAAAUCAUGGGCUUUAAUUCUAAAGACUUCUUGUAACCUGAAAGUCUUUCAAAACAUAAUGGUGCAAAAAAAAAUAAAAUAAAAUAAAUC